AUAGCUACGUACCAUAAUUAUAAUUUAAUAAUAAUCAUAAAUAAAUAUUACAUGUACGCUCGAUAUUCAACGGCACUAGUAAAUAUCACAGACUCGUUAACCCAGAAACGGACAAAACUUACGCGACAUCACCCGGCUCGAGCGUAGCACGCUUUAAAUACGAAAUCCGAUCCAAAACAAACGCGAGCUCGAACAAACUUGUAGCUCGAACGCGUGUUAGCCACGUUGCGAAUCACCAGCAAUGAAAGCAGUCCUAUUUCGAGCCGUUUAUAAAUACGUAUUCGGUGUGGACGGUUACAACUAUGGCGAGAAGUAGAAUAAAAAGCCAGAGAAACACGAAAAAAUUCAACGGAACGAUGCAAAAGCAGGAAACGCGUGUCGAAAUGGAUCGACGCCAUAUGCAAACGCCAUGUACUUUCUAUUACAGAGCACGCGAUUCGAGGACUGGACCAUUCCACUUCCAAGCGACGACUGAUUGGUGGCGCCAUCUAACAAUCGAGUCUCAAACUUCGUAGCUAAACCCGUGUCACACGAGGCAACGUUUCCGGAUUCGUUACAACACGCGGAUCGAUUCGUUUUAUCUUUUUUUCGGAAGAUGUAGUGAGAAAUGAAAAAGUGUAUAUUGGCAUUUUAUUGCACGAUAUGUAAAAAUAAAUUAGGUUAUGAAGAAUUAACGAUACAUGUUAGAAUUAUAUCAAUAGAACUACUUAUACAAUUGUUCUUAUUUUAAUGCAUUUUCUAUUUAUCUUUAUUUACAUAAUUGGAUAAUCUUUAAUCGAAAAGCAAAAAAUGAAUAAGGAUGUAAUUAAAAUGAAUACUACUGGACCCCUCUCUAUUGGAUCGAUGGAAUUUUUUCACGGAAAGUGGAGAUUUCUUACUUCGAGAAUUCAGGUCAAGUAAGAUGAUACAAAGAAG